GGAUGGGUGUCCGAGUGGUUUAAGGAACCGGUCUUGAAAACCGGCGUAGGUGCGAGCCUACCGUGGGUUCGAAUCCCACCCCAUCCGCCA
rnacentral:tRNA from 1 species